rnacentral:rRNA from 1 species
CACGUAGGCGGCUUGGCAAGUCGGAUGUGAAAUCCCUCGGCUCAACCAAGGAAGUGCAUCCGAAACUGCUGAGCUUGAGUACUUAAGAGGAUCGCGGAAUUCCCGGUGUAGAGGUGAAAUUCGUAGAUAUCGGGAGGAACACCAGUGGCGAAGGCGACUUACUGGACUGUAACUGACACUGAAGUACGAAAGCGUGGGGAAGCAAACA